rnacentral:tRNA from 1 species
GGCCUGGUAGCUCAACUGAUAGAGCCCUGCACUGAAAUUGCAGAGGUCAGGGUUCAAAUCCCCAUUCAGGCCU